CGCUGGCGGCGUGCCUAAUACAUGCAAGUCGAGCGGACCGACGGGAGCUUGCUCCCUUAGGUCAGCGGCGGACGGGUGAGUAACACGUGGGUAACCUGCCUGUAAGACUGGGAUAACUCCGGGAAACCGGGGCUAAUACCGGAUGCUUGAUUGAACCGCAUGGUUCAAUCAUAAAAGGUGGCUUUUAGCUACCACUUACAGAUGGACCCGCGGCGCAUUAGCUAGUUGGUGAGGUAACGGCUCACCAAGGCGACGAUGCGUAGCCGACCUGAGAGGGUGAUCGGCCACACUGGGACUGAGACACGGCCCAGACUCCUACGGGAGGCAGCAGUAGGGAAUCUUCCGCAAUGGACGAAAGUCUGACGGAGCAACGCCGCGUGAGUGAUGAAGGUUUUCGGAUCGUAAAACUCUGUUGUUAGGGAAGAACAAGUACCGUUCGAAUAGGGCGGUACCUUGACGGUACCUAACCAGAAAGCCACGGCUAACUACGUGCCAGCAGCCGCGGUAAUACGUAGGUGGCAAGCGUUGUCCGGAAUUAUUGGGCGUAAAGCGCGCGCAGGCGGUUUCUUAAGUCUGAUGUGAAAGCCCCCGGCUCAACCGGGGAGGGUCAUUGGAAACUGGGGAACUUGAGUGCAGAAGAGGAGAGUGGAAUUCCACGUGUAGCGGUGAAAUGCGUAGAGAUGUGGAGGAACACCAGUGGCGAAGGCGACUCUCUGGUCUGUAACUGACGCUGAGGCGCGAAAGCGUGGGGAGCGAACAGGAUUAGAUACCCUGGUAGUCCACGCCGUAAACGAUGAGUGCUAAGUGUUAGAGGGUUUCCGCCCUUUAGUGCUGCAGCAAACGCAUUAAGCACUCCGCCUGGGGAGUACGGUCGCAAGACUGAAACUCAAAGGAAUUGACGGGGGCCCGCACAAGCGGUGGAGCAUGUGGUUUAAUUCGAAGCAACGCGAAGAACCUUACCAGGUCUUGACAUCCUCUGACAACCCUAGAGAUAGGGCUUCCCCUUCGGGGGCAGAGUGACAGGUGGUGCAUGGUUGUCGUCAGCUCGUGUCGUGAGAUGUUGGGUUAAGUCCCGCAACGAGCGCAACCCUUGAUCUUAGUUGCCAGCAUUCAGUUGGGCACUCUAAGGUGACUGCCGGUGACAAACCGGAGGAAGGUGGGGAUGACGUCAAAUCAUCAUGCCCCUUAUGACCUGGGCUACACACGUGCUACAAUGGGCAGAACAAAGGGCAGCGAAGCCGCGAGGCUAAGCCAAUCCCACAAAUCUGUUCUCAGUUCGGAUCGCAGUCUGCAACUCGACUGCGUGAAGCUGGAAUCGCUAGUAAUCGCGGAUCAGCAUGCCGCGGUGAAUACG
rnacentral:rRNA from 1 species